rnacentral:rRNA from 1 species
GCAACGAGCGCAACCCUUAUCCUUUGUUGCCAGCGGUGCGGCCGGGAACUCAAAGGAGACUGGCAGUGAUAAACUGGAGGAAGGUGGGGAUGACGUCAAGUCAUCAUGGCCCUUACGAGUAGGGCUACACACGUGCUACAAUGGCGCAUACAAAGAGAAGCGACCUCGCGAGAGCAAGCGGACCUCAUAAAGUGCGUCGUAGUCCGGAUUGGAGUCUGCAACUCGACUCCAUGAAGUCGGAAUCGCUAGUAAUCGUGGAUCAGAAUGCCACGGUGAAUACGUUCCCGGGCCUUGUACACACCGCCCGUCACACCAUGGGAGUGGGUUGCAAAAGAAGUAGGUAGCUUAACCUUCGGGAGGGCGCUUACCACUUUGUGAUUCAUGACUGGGGUGAAGUCGUAACAAGGUAACCGUAGGGGAACCUGCGGUUGGAUCACCUCCUUACCUUAAAGAA